rnacentral:rRNA from 1 species
GACGGACGCUGGCGGCGUGCUUAACACAUGCAAGUCGAACGGAAAGGCCCUGCUUUUGUGGGGUGCUCGAGUGGCGAACGGGUGAGUAACACGUGAGUAACCUGCCCUUGACUUUGGGAUAACUUCAGGAAACUGGGGCUAAUACCGGAUAGGAGCUCCUGCUGCAUGAUGGGGGUUGGAAAGUUUCGGCGGUUGGGGAUGGACUCGCGGCUUAUCAGCUUGUUGGUGGGGUAGUGGCUUACCAAGGCUUUGACGGGUAGCCGGCCUGAGAGGGUGACCGGCCACAUUGGGACUGAGAUACGGCCCAGACUCCUACGGGAGGCAGCAGUGGGGAAUAUUGCACAAUGGGCGGAAGCCUGAUGCAGCAACGCCGCGUGCGGGAUGACGGCCUUCGGGUUGUAAACCGCUUUCGCCUGUGACGAAGCGUGAGUGACGGUAAUGGGUAAAGAAGCACCGGCUAACUACGUG